rnacentral:rRNA from 1 species
GGAGUCUGGACCGUGUCUCAGUUCCAAUGUGACCGUUCAUCCUCUCAGACCGGUUACCGAUCGUCGGUUUGGUGAGCCCUUACCUCACCAACUGCCUAAUCGGACGCAGGCUCCUCGCAAAAGCGAUAAAUCUUUAAUGCAACUUCCAUGCGAAUUUUGCAUAUCAUUCGGUAUUAGCAGUCCUUUCGAACUGUUGUCCCCCAUCUUUGCGGCAGAUUACCUACGCGUUACUCACCCGUUUGCCACUAGCACCGAAGUGCCCGUUCGACUUGCAUGUGUUAAGCACGCCGCCAGCGUU